AUUUUAUGAACAUUCUCGUAUCGUCUUCACGCCCAGCAAAGUUUAUUAUGCUUUUUCCACCUUCAAUUCGACUGGGCAAAUGAUGUUGCUGGGCAAAAGCAUAUUCGUUCACAGGUAUCUUGGAUCCUUGACUUAAUUCAAGACUCUACAUCGCACGUUGUAACGACAUUUAAAAAUGAAUCUGAUCAUUAAAUUGAAGUAAAAUGUAUGCAAAACAUUUUUAACAAUUUACUUUUCUCUUUUAUUCUAUAGAUAACCAUUUGGAUAGCACGGAGCCACGGAUUGGUGAACUGGAAUGUCUCUUAUGCUUUGAUAAUAGAUCAAAAACCAACACAGUCCAUCUACUACAAGAGCAUUGGAAUUCGUUGGUGAUUUAUGUGAAGAAAUUGACCGGAAUACAUAUGUUAUUGCAAAAAUAUGCAAAGUUUCUUGCCGAUCUGCUGUGACGUUGGAAUUAUACUAGCAACUGAUUGAGUUCGAUAUCGUUCGCAUCUCGCAUUAGCUGCUGUACUUGGUGUGCUUGGGGAUAAACUGAUAAACGCUCUAGAAUAUUUGGCGUGGAUGGCCAGGAUUCGCGAUUUGAUGGUGGUACAGUAAAUAUUGGACGACCUAACGCAGAGCAAUGCUAAGAAGAACUACGAAACCCAAUUUUUUGGGGAUUGAAAUUCAAUUCGCAUGAAAAAGUGUGCACUCAGGCAACCUACUGGUUUAUCAAAGCAUGUUCGAAUGCCGAACAAUCCAAAUGAAUCCAAAUGAAGGUUGAAACGCGAUGAUUACACCUUGCUCUUGAUGCCGUAUAUCAUUUAAACCGACCCCUUCGUGCAUGUUGCUGGCUGAACAAUACUGUUUAUCAAACCCCAUGGUUCAACAUCGAACACGGUUCAUUCAAAAGACUGUGGAAACACAAUGUGUGACACCUUGCUUAGACGCCGUGUAUGGUCUAAAUUGGUAUGCUGUUUGCAGGAAAAUGCGCUAUUACGUACAUUACAAAGAAUGGUCCGAAUGUCUGCAGGUCGCCAAGAUGCAAUACCAUGGAAGUUGUAAAACAUCACGUUACAUACGAUACUGGCAACAAUUGGUGUGAAAUACCCAACUAAAGUGGAAUUUUGGUAUGCGUUUUGUUGAAGGUGAUGCAGUGAAGAUACCAUCCAAUACACAAGACGCAUGGUAUUCGGGAGUACUGCAUAAUUCCAAGAGUUUAUAUCAGUGAUACUUACCUGUUAUUCAUCAGUUCAACGGCGAUGCUAAACGACCAAAGAUCUUCAUAAUCGCUUGAAAGCACUAGACGCAGUUAGGAUGGUACAUCUGGGAGUGUGCGGGUUAAGUGAAUGAUUUGAUAUUGGUUUAAAUAAAUCACUGCAUAAUUCGCUGUGUUGAGAUAUUGUACAAAUGAAAUGUCAAAUGUUGGGAUGAAGGUACCAUAACUGCAACGGAAGUUGCGAUCGUGAUUGAUCGUGUAUCGGUUAUUGGAAAUCAUCUGCUUCAUUUUUAAAGAGUCAAACGGGCAGGCUUGCGAAAGGCAAAUGGGGAGCAUCUAACAAAAAGUGUUUGUGAAAGAUAUGAAUGUGUCGUGAUGGUGUGGUAAUAGUGACAGUUCGAGCAACUGUUUGUAAGUGAGAAGGUACUAUCAGGUAAGUAAUGUGUUGUAAUUUGUUCUCUUUGCUCAACUCAUCUGAUUCAGUUGUCGCACAUGCUGCUGAACUCUCUGUGACGUGUGUGAAGUGAGAAUGUUUCACCGGCAAUACGUUUCAGGGAGUUUAGCAAGCAUGCACACAGUAUCAGAUCUGUUGUCCAACACGGUCUUAAAUAUGUAUGAUGAAAAAAGUCAAUAAAAUAUUUUACCUCACAGAAA